rnacentral:rRNA from 1 species
GACGAACGCUGGCGGCGUGCUUAACACAUGCAAGUCGAACGGAAAGGCCCUGCUGUUGUGGGGUGCUCGAGUGGCGAACGGGUGAGUAACACGUGAGUAACCUGCCCUGGACUUUGGGAUAACUUCAGGAAACUGGGGCUAAUACCGGAUAGGAGCUCCUGCUGCAUGGUGGGGGUUGGAAAGUUUCGGCGGUUGGGGAUGGACUCGCGGCUUAUCAGCUUGUUGGUGGGGUAGUGGCUUACCAAGGCUUUGACGGGGAGCCGGCCUGAGAGGGUGACCGGCCACAUUGGGACCGAGGUACGGCCCCGGCGCCUACUGGAGGCCGCAGUGGGGAAUACUGCACAAUGGGCGGCAGCCUGAUGCAGCAACGCCGCGUGCUGGAUGACGGCCUUCGGGUUGUAAACCGCCUUCGCCUGUGACGAAGCGUGAGUGACGGUAAUGGGAAGAGAAGCACCCGCUAACUACCUG